CCUACGGGUGGCAGCAGUAGGGAAUAUUGCUCAAUGGGGGAAACCCUGAAGCAGCAACGCCGCGUGGAGGAUGAAGGUCUUAGGAUUGUAAACUCCUUUUGUGAGAGAAGAUAAUGACGGUAUCUCACGAAUAAGCACCGGCGAACUCCGUGCCAGCAGCCGCGGUCAUACGGAGGGUGCAAGCGUUACUUGGAACCACUGGGCGUAAGGAGUGCGCAGGCGGGCUGGUAAGUCAGAUGUGAAAUCCUGUAGCUUAACUACAGAAUUGCAUUUGAAACUAUGAAUCUAGAGUGUGGGAGAGGUAGGUAGAAAUCUUGGGGUAGGGGUAAAAUCCGUAGAUAUCAAGAGGAAUACUCAGUGCGAAGGCGACCUACUGGAACAUUACUGACGCUCAUGCACGAAAGCGUGGGGAGCAAACAGGAUUAGAUACCCUUGUAGUC
rnacentral:rRNA from 1 species